rnacentral:rRNA from 1 species
GUCCACGCCGUAACGAUGAAUGCCAGCCGUCGGGUAGCAUGCUAUUCGGUGGCGCAGCUAACGCUUUAAGCAUUCCGCCUGGGGAGUACGGUCGCAAGAUUAAACUCAAAGGAAUUGACGGGGCCCGCACAAGCGGUGGAGCAUGUGGUUUAAUUCGAAGCAACGCGCAGAACCUUACCAGCUCUUGACAUGCCUGGACCGCCACGGAGACGUGGUUUCCCUUCGGGGACCAGGACACAGGUGCUGCAUGGCUGUCGU